rnacentral:rRNA from 1 species
AGUGGCGAACUGGUGAGUAACACGUGGGUAACCUGCCCAGAAGAAGGGGAUAACACCUGGAAACAGAUGCUAAUACCGUAUAACAACAAGAACCACAUGGUUCUUGUUUUGAAAGCUGGCCUUUUGUGCUAGUGCUUCUAGAUGGACCCCGCGGCGUAUUAGCUAGUUGGUGGGAUAAUAGCUCACCAAGGCAAUGAUAUGUAGCAGACCUGAGAGGGUAAUCUGCCACAAUGGGACUGAGACACGGCCCAUACUCC